rnacentral:rRNA from 1 species
AAGUCCCGCAACGAGCGCAACCCUUGCCUUCAGUUGCCAUCGGGUAGGGCCGGGCACUCUGAAGGAACUGCCGGUGACAAGCCGGAGGAAGGUGGGGAUGACGUCAAGUCCUCAUGGCCCUUAUGGGCUGGGCUACACACGUGCUACAAUGGCGGUGACAAUGGGCAGCAACGGGGCGACCCUGAGCUAAUCUCCAAAAACCGUCUCAGUUCGGAUUGUACGCUGCAACUCGCGUGCAUGAAGGUGGAAUCGCUAGUAAUCGUGGAUCAGCAUGCCACGGUGAAUACGUUCCCGGGCCUU